AGAGAGAAAGAGAGAGAGAGAGAGAAAGGGUAGUGAUAGUAGACGCGACGAGUCGAUUGGUGCGUGGGUGCACGCGUGUAAUGGUGGAGCGAGUUGCACGCGCACGAUGCAGCUGAUGACCUUGAACUCCCUGCUGAUGUUCGAUCUCGUGUUCCUGUUUUUCCUGUUCCUCGUCGGGGUCUCCUGUCUCGUAUACUACCUGCCGGGUACUCGAGCGCAUGCUUUCGCGCCACACGAGAUCAUCACGGCGCGGACGCCACCGCGCUAUGAUACGCCGAUCGACAAUGUGUAAGAAUGCCAACGGACGUGAUCGAAGUCCCAGGACUCGCAGUGGUGGCAGGGGAUGUUCUUACCCUGCGAGGCACAGGACUCGCUGCUGCAGAAACAUGGGCUCUCCUCUGCCAGGCUGCCCAGGCCCUCCAGGAUCUUUUUCUUUCAAAUGGAGGCGUGGUGGGUGGUUCGAGAGCAGGACCAGUGGUGACUCCACACACACUGGAAUUGACACCACGUGGUAGGGUUUUGCUGCAGCUUGCACCGCCGGAGACUGCUCGCGCGUACCUACCACCGGAAUAUCGACCCGGUCGGAUUUAUUCGGACACGGAUUCGGAAAAAGUACGUUACAUUCGCAACGCGGCGCUUAAUGAUGCACCGUUAAUAACAAAUUUUUCAAUAAUUAAUUGCGUCCCAAUCAAUAUCUGUCAUUUGGUGAAUUUUAGCGCGGUAUUUUGAUAUUCACUUUACAUCUGCUAUUCCAUAACGCCACUAAUCUUACUAACGCUAAAUUAUUGCACAGCAUGUUGUAAAAGUUUAUUUGAUAUAAAUUUCAAGAUUAAUUUUUUUUUUUUUACUUUUCCCGGAAGUUUUUCUGAUUUCCCGAUCGGUCCCCGUCUAUAAUGCAUAUUAUUAUUGGAAUUUGCGAAAUGCUUACAGCUUUCAAAUGAUCAUGUAAUGUGAUAUCUAACGUUGAUUUUAAUAGUAUUAUACUGAUAAAAGUAAAUAAAUAUUUAAUGUAUCGAAUAAUUACGUAUUGUGAGGUAAAUAUGAAAAUCGAGAGAAGACUGAGCAAAUUAUGUUUAUCAGAAACAGUUCCGUUUCUCCGGCCGGUCAAUUAUACACGUACGCGCGUAUAAAUAGUACUGGUAUUUACCGGAAGGACGAGGCCGAUGGUAUAAUUAAAAGAGCGAAACGCGGAGAAUUAAGAACGCGUUCUAUUAAAAUCCUUUCAGCGCGAAAAGAAUUAAGCCGCCGUGCUCGUCCUUUGACGGCUCGACGACUUUUUAUUUGCUCGACACUCGCGUUUGAGUGCCGAGUUGAAUUUUUAACGGGGCCGUCGUUGUGCGAGACUGACUGUUUGAAAGAUUCGAAGAACGAAGAGGGAUGCACGUAGAGGGAC